rnacentral:lncRNA from 1 species
CGAUGCUUCCCAAGAAACAGCCGACUCAGCGCCUUGCGAGAGGAAAGGGCGGUGGUGGUCGUUCGUCUCACCCGGGAAGAGUUUCCUCCUGACCUAGGAAGGAAGAGCCCACAGUGAGCCAAAUUGAUGAAUGAAUAGAAGAUGCGCAAUCCGACCUGUGGCCAAGAAGUCCAAGAUCAUACGCAUGUGAGAUUGGGGAUAAUCAUCCACCUAUGAAGACCGCAGUAGGAUGCUCAUUAAGACUCAGUCAACAACACUUUUAGAAUCACUUGCUCUGGGAGAGCUGACGCCAUGUCAGGAGGACACUCAAGCAGGCCUGUGGAGAAGGACGUGUGGAGAGGAACGAGGCCUCCUCACAACAGCCAGCAUCACGUUUCCAUCUGGAUGAGUGAGCCGUCCUGGAAACGGAUCCUCCAGCCCCAGUGACGCCUUCCCAUGACCGCGGCCCUGGCCGACAUCUUGACUGCAGCCUCAUGAGAGACCUUGAGCCAGAAAUACCCAGUUAAACGGCUCCUGGAUUCCUGACCCACAG